UACGGGGGAUGCAAGCGUUAUCCGGAAUCAUUGGGCGUAAAGCGUCUGUAGGUGGUUUAAUAAGUCUGUUGUUAAAGACUAGGGCUCAACCCUAGAGCAGCAAUGGAAACUAAUAAACUUGAGUAUGGCAGGGGUAGAGGGAAUUUCUAGUGUAGCGGUGAAAUGCGUAGAUAUUAGAAAGAACACCAGUGGCGAAAGCGCUCUACUGGGCCAUGUCUGACACUGAGAGACGAAAGCUAGGGGAGCGAAAGGGAUUAGAUACCCCUGUAGUCCUAGCUGUAAACGAUGGAUACUAGAUGUUGUGAGACCAGUAUCGUAGCUAACGCGUUAAGUAUCCCGCCUGGGGAGUACGCUCGCAAGGGUG
rnacentral:rRNA from 1 species